GAUAAGGUUAAGUGAAUAAGGGCGCACGGUGGAUGCCUUGGCACUAGGAGCCGAUGAAGGACGGGACUAACACCGAUAUGCUUUGGGGAGCUGUAAGUAAGCUAUGAUCCAGAGAUUUCCGAAUGGGGGAACCCAAUAUCUUUUAUAGGAUAUUACUUUUCAGUGAAUACAUAGCUGAUUAGAGGUAGACGCAGAGAACUGAAACAUCUUAGUAUCUGCAGGAAGAGAAAGAAAAUUCGAUUCCCUGAGUAGCGGCGAGCGAAACGGGAAGAGCCCAAACCAACAAGCUUGCUUGUUGGGGUUGUAGGACUCCAAUAUGGUAGUCUGUUAGUAUAGUUGAAGGAUUUGGAAAAUUCCGCUAAAGAGGGUGAAAGCCCCGUAGACGAAAUGCUAACAACACCUAGGAGGAUCCUGAGUACGGCGGAACACGAGAAAUUCCGUCGGAAUCCGCGGGGACCAUCCCGCAAGGCUAAAUACUCCCUAGUGAC
rnacentral:rRNA from 1 species